GCCUCUACACAAGAUAGGCAUCGGUUGCUCACCUGACAGCACCACACACGCACACCGACGUGCACACGUCGGCUUUCCACCGUCGCUCACCCGCUCUCUUGCUCUCUAUCACACACCUUUUUUUUUAGUUGGCGGUCGUGAUGUCUGGCACAAGGGUGCUUAUAAAGGAGUCCGCAAUGCCGGUGGACAUGCAGCAAGACUGCGCCGACUGCGCCGCGCACGCGCUCUUCACCUUGAAGCUGCGCGAGCAAACCGAUCUGGCGCAGUUCAUCAAGAAGGAGCUGGACGUCAAGUACGGCGGACAGUGGCACUGCAUCGUAGGACACUCCUUCGGCUCCUGCGUUGGCCAUGAUGAGGCGUACUUCAUCUACUUCGAGAUCAACGGUAUCUUCUUUAGCAUGUGGAAGAUGGACGUGACGCUCGAAGCGAAGCAGGUGCCGAUCAACAGUGCAGGACGCACUGUGCCGGCGUCCGCCUAGAGGCGACGCGUGCGUCUUGUCGUGUACCGGACCCUGGCGAGGCGCAACACCAGUCAUGGUGGGCGGCACCAUCGCGACAACAAUGCGGCUGCGAUGCACCGAAGGAGCAGAGGUGUCCUGCAGAUGAGCGGCAGAAUUCUGAAGCUGCAGCACAGCACACGUCGCCUAUGUCAGCCCGCUGCUGUGCUAUAGCCCCCGUUGUUUUUUUCGGUCGGAGAACGGCCGAGCUGUCUCCGCUGAUGUAUCAAGAAAAAAAGAGAGAUGCUGCAGAACGCUCCCUGCGUUUGAAUCACAGCUAGCCCUGUCUUGCUUCCAUGCAGCCCACCAACAGGCUGACGGACAAGCUGAAGCGCGGGUAGUGCGCAGCAGCACACAGGCAGAGUUACCUCUUUCUCUCCCUCCCCCUCUCCCUCUCGUGCGUUCGUGUACGUGAGGAGCAGCGGCUAGAUGAUGUGUACUACCUCUAUUCCUUCUCUCCUUUUCGGGGGGGAGGAGGAAGAAGAGGGGGGCCCCGAUGGUACGGCUGAUCGCAACUGUGCCAUCCACGUUGCUGCUGCGUUUCUUUCAGUGCGCACGCAUCAUGUCCAGCGCGUUGGCAUUGCCUGCAUCUCUUUUCCGCUUUUUGCUCCGUUCUUCUGUCUGCUCCUCUUCACGUUUUCCCUCUCCGCACUGAACCUGUGGCCUCUUGGUGUCCCACGCCAACACACAAACACACGCAUGCAUCACUGAUGGAUCGAUCGUUGCAG
rnacentral:misc_RNA from 1 species